rnacentral:ncRNA from 2 species
GGGUGUGAUGACAAAGCGUCAUCAUAGGCAUGACGGAUGGUCGGGCCACCAUCC